rnacentral:lncRNA from 1 species
AGCCUAUCCAAUGUGUUUAACCAACGUGUUUAACCAACCAACCAACCAACCAACCAACCAACCAACCAAUUAAUCAAUCAAUGCAUGUUUCCGUUUCAUGUGUUAAAUACGGGAUCCGAGAUGGUUUUUUUUCGCUUGUUUAAAUUGAGCCUAUCAAACGUGUUUAACCAGCCAACGUUUUAAACAGUGUUUAACCAACAUGUUUAACCAACGUGUUUAACCAACGUGUUUAACCAACCAACCAAUCAACCAAUCAAUGCAUGUUUCCGUUUCAUGUGUUAAAUACGGGAUCCAAGAUGUUUUUUUUCGCUUGUUUAAAUUGAGCCUAUCAAACGUGUUUAACCAGCCAACGUGUUUAACCAACGUGUUUAACCAACAUGUUUAACCAACGUGUUUAACCAACCAACCAAUCAACCAAUCAAUGCAUGUUUCCGUUUCAUGUGUUAAAAACGGGAUCCAAGAUGGUUUUUUUUUUCGCUUGUUUAAAUUGAGCCUAUCCAACGUGUUUAACCAGCCAACGUGUUUAACCAACGUGUUUAACCAACAUGUUUAACCAACAUGUUUAACCAACGUGUUUAACCAACCAACCAACCAAUCAAUCACUUAAUGUAUGUUUCCGUGUCAUGCG